GGGCGCAUGGUGACUUAGUGGUUAGCAUGUUCGCCUCAUACCUCAAGGAUCCGGGAUUCGAUUCCCGCUGGGGCCG